UAGGGAAUCUUCGGCAAUGGACGAAAGUCUGACCGAGCAACGCCGCGUGAGUGAAGAAGGUUUUCGGAUCGUAAAACUCUGUUGGUAGAGAAGAACGUUGGUGAGAGUGGAAAGCUCAUCAAGUGACGGUAACUACCCAGAAAGGGACGGCUAACUACGUGCCAGCAGCCGCGGUAAUACGUAGGUCCCGAGCGUUGUCCGGAUUUAUUGGGCGUAAAGCGAGCGCAGGUGGUUUAUUAAGUCUGGUGUAAAAGGCAGUGGCUCAACCAUUGUAUGCAUUGGAAACUGGUAGACUUGAGUGCAGGAGAGGAGAGUGGAAUUCCAUGUGUAGCGGUGAAAUGCGUAGAUAUAUGGAGGAACACCGGUGGCGAAAGCGGCUCUCUGGCCUGUAACUGACACUGAGGCUCGAAAGCGUGGGGAGCAAACAGGAUUAGAUACCCUGGUAGUCCACGCCGUAAACGAUGAGUGCUAAGAUGU
rnacentral:rRNA from 1 species